GAUCAUGGCUCAGGAUGAACGCUGGCGGCGUGCUUAACACAUGCAAGUCGAACGGUGAACACGGAGCUUGCUCUGUGGGAUCAGUGGCGAACGGGUGAGUAACACGUGAGCAACCUGCCCCUGACUCUGGGAUAAGCGCUGGAAACGGCGUCUAAUACUGGAUAUGUGACGUGACCGCAUGGUCUGCGUCUGGAAAGAAUUUCGGUUGGGGAUGGGCUCGCGGCCUAUCAGCUUGUUGGUGAGGUAAUGGCUCACCAAGGCGUCGACGGGUAGCCGGCCUGAGAGGGUGACCGGCCACACUGGGACUGAGACACGGCCCAGACUCCUACGGGAGGCAGCAGUGGGGAAUAUUGCACAAUGGGCGCAAGCCUGAUGCAGCAACGCCGCGUGAGGGACGACGGCCUUCGGGUUGUAAACCUCUUUUAGCAGGGAAGAAGCGAAAGUGACGGUACCUGCAGAAAAAGCGCCGGCUAACUACGUGCCAGCAGCCGCGGUAAUACGUAGGGCGCAAGCGUUAUCCGGAAUUAUUGGGCGUAAAGAGCUCGUAGGCGGUUUGUCGCGUCUGCUGUGAAAUCCGGAGGCUCAACCUCCGGCCUGCAGUGGGUACGGGCAGACUAGAGUGCGGUAGGGGAGAUUGGAAUUCCUGGUGUAGCGGUGGAAUGCGCAGAUAUCAGGAGGAACACCGAUGGCGAAGGCAGAUCUCUGGGCCGUAA
rnacentral:rRNA from 1 species